rnacentral:rRNA from 1 species
AGAGUUUGAUCAUGGCUCAGGACGAACGCUGGCGGCGUGCCUAAGACAUGCAAGUCGAACGGUUCCAGCAAUGGGACAGUGGCGAACGGCGGAGUAAUACAUGAGCAACGUGCCCUAAAGACUGGGAUAGUCGCUGGAAACGGCGGGUAAUACCAGAUGUGACGUACCGGUGGCAUCAUCGGAACAUUAAAUGGUUUUUCGCUUUAGGAGUGGCUCAUGGCCUAUCAGGUAGUUGGUGAGGUAACGGCUCACCAAGCCGACGACGGGUAGCGGGUCUGAGAGGAUGAUCCGCUCGAGUGGGACUGAGACACGGCCCACACACCUACGGGUGGCAGCAGUUGGGAAUCUUGCACAAUGGGGGAAACCCUGAUGCAGCGACGCCGCGUGGAGGACGAAGGGUCUAGGCCUGUAAACUCCUUUUAUCGGGAAAGACUUAGGACGGUACCCGAUGAAUAAGCACCGGCUAACUACGUGCCAGCAGCCGCGGUAAGACGUAGGGUGCAAGCGUUGUCCGGAUUUACUGGGCGUAAAGAGCGCGUAGGCGGUCUGUUAAGUGUAGAGUGAAAUCUCCAGGGCUCAACCCGGAAACUGCUCUGCAUACUGGCAGACUUGAGGGUCGAAGAGGUGUAUGGAAUUCCUGGUGUAGCGGUGAAAUGCGUUGAUAUCAGGAGGAACACCCAUGGCGAAGGCAGUACACUGGUCGGCAUCUGACGCUGAGGCGCGAAAGCGUGGGUAGCAAACAGGAUUAGAUACCCUAGUAGUCC